rnacentral:rRNA from 1 species
ACGAACGCUGGCGGCGUGCUUAACACAUGCAAGUCGAACGGUGAAGCGCCUUCCUUUUUGGUGGGUGUGGAUGAGUGGCGAACGGGUGAGUAACACGUGAGUAACCUGCCCCCUUCUUCUGGAUAACCGCAUGAAAGUGUGGCUAAUACGGGAUAUUCUGGGUCUGUCGCAUGAUGGGUCUGGGAAAGAUAUUGUUUCGGUGGGGGAUGGGCUCGCGGCCUAUCAGCUUGUUGGUGGGGUGAUGGCCUACCAAGGCGGUGACGGGUAGCCGGCCUGAGAGGGUGGACGGUCACACGGGGACUGGGACACGGCCCAGACUCCUACGGGAGGCAGCAGUGGGGAAUAUUGCACAAUGGGCGCAAGCCUGAUGCGGCGACGCCGCGUGAGGGAUGGAGGCCUUCGGGUUGUGAACCUCUUUCGCCAGUGAAGCAGGCCUGCCUCGUUUGUGGGUGGGUUGACGGUAGCUGGAUAAGAAGCGCCGGCUAACUACGUG